AAUUCUGCAAACAAGGCCUGGGUGAUGGUUGAUUUGUUUUGUUUUUCAGUGAGCCAGGGCUGGCACAGGGAAUCGUGCAGGUACUGGUCUGGCACCGGAGCUGCUGCCCUUUGGAGCCAUUUUAAGGGCUGUCCUUGCUGGAGCACCCUGGUCCCUGCCAUCCCCAAGCCCUGAGACACAGAGGGAGCCCUGUCCCAAGUGGCCUUUGGCACCUUGUCAGGAAUGUGGCAGCAGCCCCGGGAGCAGGCUGGAGGAGAAAACCUCCCAGCAAGACAGAUUGCAGUGGAGGCCAGAGUUGUGUUUGGAGCAGGGAGUGCUGAGAGCUGCAUCUGCCUGUGCUGCCACAGCCUGACCACAGCCACAUGGAACAGCCUGGAAAAGGGACUGGGGGAAUUGCUGAUGCCCCAGUGAGAAGAACACAAACUCACAGCCAUUCAGCCUGACAGUCCCCUCCACCCAGAGCUCAGCACACAUCCUCAGAGUCCAGCAGCUGAAGGAGAAAAAAACCACAGAAGAAAAAGCAGCCAGCAGGGAAGGGAGAAGAGGAUCCCUGUGGGAUGAGGCUGGAGAGAGCAAACAGAGGAGCAGCCUCGGGCUGGAGAAAGGCAAAGGGACCAACAUGGUGUCACCAGGGCACCUGUGAGGAACAGAAUGGACACUUGGAGGCUCCAUGGAGGUGAGGAGUGGAUGGUUUGGGGCAAAAUGGGAGUUAAUCUCCAGAGAGAUAAGUAGGGGAUA